CGGCGGCGCUCUAGCCGCGCCAUGUCUGCUUCUCGACUGCUCUGGGAGGAGGAAGAGAAGGAGGAAGAGGAGGAGGAGGAGGAGGGGGAGGAAGAGGAGAAAGGCGCAGGGGUGGGAGCUGUCGCCGGAGCUGCCACAGCAAAAGUUCUCUCCCCUCCCCCUCGCCCUCCUUGCCGGGCCCGUGGGAAGGUCGGAGCCGCCGCCGCCUGCAGUCGGUGACCGCGCGCCUCGGCGCCAGCCCGCGGGCCAUGUGGCUCAUGCCUAUAAUCCAGGGCCAUAGAAGCAGAGGUUGCGGCAAGUCGAGGGGCAGCCUUGUCUACAUCGCAAGCUCCAGGCCAGUUAGGAAGAUAGCGUGAGAUGCUGCACUUACCACCUCCUACCCCUACCUCCAAAAGAGAAAAUGAUUGGUUUAGAUGUUGGAGAACUAGAACUAAGGCAGAAGAGAAUCAGCAUGGGGAGAAAAGUGGUUCUGCAAGAAGGACAUUAUUAUGGUGCUUUGCCUGCAUGUAUGUCUGCAUCUACAUGCAUGCAGUGCCCCUGGAGAUCAGAAGAGGCAUUGGAUCCC
rnacentral:lncRNA from 1 species